rnacentral:piRNA from 1 species
UUCACCUGCGUGCCAUUGGGCUUGGCCAUGU